GGAGGGGUGCCUGAGUGGUUGAAAGGGCCGGUUUCGAAAACCGGUGUACGGUUCACUCCGUACCGAGGGUUCGAAUCCCUCCUCCUCCG
rnacentral:tRNA from 1 species